UUAUUUAAAAGUUAUUUAUAAAACAAAAUAAAGGUAAUCAGUAAAUAUGAGCAACAUAAAGAAAGUUACAAAUAUAAAGAGUUGUUUUUGGCAAGAAAGGUUAAAAGGAAAGUAAUUUUAUGUAAGAAAGAAUCUUGUGUGAUAAAAUUUUGUCCUGAAAUAAAAUGACUGGUUAUUUAACAAAGAGGGAUAUCUAAGACAAAACAGGAAUUCCAAGCAUGUUUUAAAUGAUUUGUAUCAAGUUGUCUAUAAUUAAAGAGAAACUUUUUAUAUAGUUUUUCUAGAGACUGGGUUUUGAUUUAAAAAAAGAAACACUAAAGAAUUGGUUAGAAUAGCAAAAUUUUCUUGAGGUAUUGAUUUACUCUUAGUAAAAUUACAAGAGAUUUUAAUAUUUUUAACCCAAAGUUCAACUUUUAUUGCAUUUUGCUGUUUUCAGCUUUCUCUCCCCCUUUAAAAGGCCUGAAAUAAUAACUCUCCUUCAACUCGUUUUCAGCUCCUGUAAGUUUUUUUCCUCUCAGGUUGUAAUUAUUUGUUGUGGCCUGAUGCUAAAAAUGUUUUACCUUAAAGAUCUAAAGGAAAUGUUUUCUUCUAACAUAGUACCCUGUGCUCUUGUCUUUAAAUUGUUCUAUGAAUCUGAAAAAUUUUACUUGUGACCCAGGAAACAUUCUUCCUAUAUCUAAUUCAAGUACUAUUUUCAUUAGUUUUGACUUGCAGAUUAUCUAAAUGGAUUCCUCAUAGUGAACAGAAAUUGCACUGCAGAAGCUCUUUGCGCUGGCCUAACGAACAGAUUUUAUGUUUUAUUGAAAUAGUUCCUAUAUCAUUAAGUUUUGGUUUGCUUAGAAAAAACUGAAAUUAAAAAACAUUCUAAAUUAAGGUUAUUGCAUCUGUGUAACUUUCUGUAUGUGCUUUUCAUGUUUUUGUGCCAUUCAGUUAUGAGGUUUGACUCUUGGGUCUAAAAAGGACACCAAGUCCUGCUCGAUCUUAAAUACUGACAGCAGUUAAAGCCUCAUCUUCAGACCUGGUAGAAGAUGCCAAUAAAAAUAAACUACUUUCAUGAGACACAGGGCCAGAAAUUAAAAAUAUUCGACCUCCCAAGACUCAGGGACUAUUGUGGAAGAGGAUACAAUUGGACACUGGUUAUUUUACCAAGGCUUUGAUUGGAAUGGCAUACUUUCAGAUAUAAAUCAACUGCUUUAAGGAAUCAAAGUUGACUUAUAGAGCCAUAAAAGCCCCUUGGGAAAGCUGGCCUCAUGCCUUGUCCACACAGUUCCUGUACAGUUUCCUGACCUGUGGUUCUCACUUUGUCAUCCAGGCUGGAGCACAGUGGUGUGAAUAUGGCUCAUGGCUCAUUGCAGUCUCGACCUUCUGGGCUCACGCCAUCUUCCCAUCUUAGACUCCUGUGUAGCUGGGACCACAGGCAGGUACCACCAUUCCCUGCUAAUUAUUUCAUUCUAUUUGUAGAGAUGGGGUCUUGCCAUGUCACCCAGACCAGUCUCGAAAUCCUGGCCUCAAGCAAUUCACCUGCCUCAGCCUCCCAAAGCACCAGGAUUACAGAGUGAGCCACUGCUUGGCCUAGACAAAGUUUUUCUUCAUUGUUUUAAAAACAAAUUUUAAA